CCUCCUCCACUCCGCCUCCUCCUCCACUCCACCUCCUCCUCCACUCCGCCUCCUCCUCCUCUCCUCCUGCUCUUGUGUUUGAUGAGAUACGGUGAUUUCUCUUAGGGGAGACGACAGUCCAUCCUAGUGCAGUCCCGUCUUGUUCCCGUCCCACCCCGAGUGUCCAGCACCUCAUUCCAUCCAUUUAUGAUAUUUCACUCUUCUCCCGUGUGAGCGUUAAACGGAGGACCAGCUUUCCUCCCUGGGUUCAGCAGACCCCGGUGUGAAAACUGAAGGGGGAGGCGGAGGCGGAGGCGGAG